rnacentral:lncRNA from 1 species
ACCAUGAAGGUCCUGAAUGAUAUGAAUAAAAUAGCAUUCGCGGCAGAGUGAUCUCCUUGGAUCUCCUGAGUGGCCCAUUUGGCAGUGGGUGAGGAACUUGGGGCUCAGUGAGAUGGAGUGACUUUGACCUGCCUGAUGUUCCACAGCCAGCAGUGUAUUUUCUCCAGGUAAAGAAAGCUUUUCGUGGUUCACUGACUGAGGAAAAUCAACCCCUCCACAAUCUAGAACCUGAAGACUGGAUCUUCUGGGAACAUCAGAAAUAGACUGCCUUUGCCAUCCACACUACAGCAAAACUCUGGGACCUUGAACUUUGGGUUCAUAAUCUCACAACCCAAAAGGUUCCCUCCACACUCCUGGAACUGUACACCCUUUGGAAACUUUAAGGUAACACUAACCAGGGAAGUGUCUCCCCAGAAGAUGACAUUCUUGAUGUGAACAGCUUUUCCCCAAGAUCAUGAAUCAAGAUUCCUCUACUAUCAGGAGACUCUCAAUCUUUCAAAUUUUUCCCCCUUGCUUAUGCCUCCAUGAGCAAUAGAGGUGAAGUCGGGGUCAGUUGUGUGUACUCAUGGGGUAUACUUUUAUUUGUGAAGGAUUUUGCAGCCAGCCUUGUACAUGGAUAACCUUAUGGUUUGACAGAUGGAAGAUGAAGGCCCAAUGUAGGUGGAAUGACAAGAGCUGAAAGAAAUGUGUGGCCAUGAGGGCACCAUAACCUAUGAAUGACGUGCUGAGACCAG